UUUUACUCUAAAUUUCUUAAUUUCGGAUGUGCAUGGCCACUCUGCCUCGGAUCGCCAUGCUGCUACUACACCUAUAACUAAUGCAGAAGUAAAGUGGAAGGAUGUCUUAACUGAUGAAUGGCGUGGCCCAGAUCCCGUGAUUUCGAGAUCUAGGGGAGCGAUUUGUGUUUUUCCGCAGAAUCAAGAAAAUCCAAUUUGGGUACCUGAGCGCUUGACUCGAAAAUUGCCUUCUGCUCUUCCUGAAGGUUGGGUGCAGCAAGUGGUGGCCCAUACGGGGAAUCUUUGAAUCCACCAUAAAGGGACUCACCUCUCUCCGAGAUCAGAACUUCUUGCAGUCAGGGCAGCGCUGGAAAGUUCCCAAGCCGCAGUCAGCCAGCCUAGUCUAGUUUUCCAUUUGUCACAUCAAGGAGGAAGUUUCAAGGGACCGCAAGUCUGGCAUAUCUUACGCCAUCAGGUAAUUGGACUGGAGAAUUCGAUUUCUUAAUGGAUCAGCUACGUGUAGCCAUCGUGUAGCCAUCGUGACUGUGAACUCCACAUGUGCAGAUGCUAGACUGGCUAUGGAAUUGUCAUCUUGGAUUGCUGUUGCUGUGAAUCAUCUUAGAGAGUGGAGACUGGAGGAAUAUAGUCCAGCCUAUAUUGGAAACCAUCACAGGAAAAGGAUUCAGGGUCUGACACUACUACUACUUCUGUGGUUUGCUUACAGAGAGGAUCCUAGCAUAGCUACCUUCUGAGAGGCCCAACAAGCAGCUAAUUGAGACUGAGGCAGAUACUUACCCCAACCAACCGUCUGAAGUUGGGGGUGACUGUGGUUGAAUUGGAGAAAGAAUGGAAGAAGUUGAGGAGGAGAGCAACUCCUUAGGAAGACCAGCAGUCUCAAGGAACCUGGACCUGCAAGGUCUUUGAGAAACUGAGUCACCAACCAGGCGGCAUACACUGUCUGGUCUAAGGCACCCAAAACAUACUACAGAAGACAGCCUUAUCUGGACUAAGUGACAAAAGGCUCACCAAACUCUUGAGAGACUCAGGGCCCCAGGAAGUGAGGAGGCCUUUCUGGGUGUGGGGUGUAUGUGGGGGUGUGGGGACUUUGUCUUGGAGACAGGGAAGGAAGAAUGGGAUAGUGAAAUGUGAGAGGGUAGAACUGGAAGGAACAGUGACUGGACUGUGUGGAAAAAAUUAAAGAUUAAAAAA
rnacentral:lncRNA from 1 species